CGUGAGUUUUAUGCAUGAAACUGUUUUGGAGAGGGCAAUGAUCAAGACUUUGGAACUCUGGUCUGGAAUACCCAUUGAAGAUGUCAUAAAGAGAGCAAGGGGUCUUCCUUGUGUGAGCUUAGAAGACUGGAAUGCUCAAAGUAAUAGUGACGGCAGAGAUCCAGAUCAAGUUCCAGAAGGGAAGAGACUUUGCUGUUAGCAGGAGUAUUCAUGUACUAUUCAGCCGCUGUCUUGUCCAAGAAUGUGUAUGUGCUGACCAGGCAAGGACCAAGAAGUAGCUGUCAUUGUCAAAGAGAUCAGCGCCAUUCAGGACCCUGGCGAGCAACUGGCCCCUUCUGGAUGAGGACAUGAUACAUACUCCUGCCGUGGGUAGAGCACGAGGCUCAGAGCUGACACCCUACAUGAGCAUUUCAGACACCUGACUGACGGAUGACCAAGCAUGAGCAGUAACAGCCUCAAGCUCAAAGUUCGAGGUUAACGUAAACACAUCAAAACUCACUAACGUGACUGCAAAACCAGUUGAAGAAGUAAUCAAGUUCUUUGGCCCCGGUCCUAUAUGCAAAUGUUGCAGUAAUGAACCGUGAUUUCUUUUUUUUUUUUUUUAAUUUUUAAAGACAGUGUCGUCACCUAACUGUGGCUAAUCUGGAAUUCGUGGACGUCACCGAAGUCACAACGAUCUACCUGCCUCUGCCUCCCAAGUACUAGGAUCAAAGCUGUCCAUCACACUGGUGGACCAUGGGAAAUUACCACACAGCUAUAGCUGGGCAAGGUAUAAACUGACGUCUCGUAUAACUCUCCUGAACUCCACUUGGAACCUUGGUUAGUUGUAGGAACUGCUGGGGUAGCAUGAGGCAUCUGAAUUUUUUUCAUGAAGGUAAGUUUUCAACAGAUAUCAGGGUCCGGGCAGAAGGAGUAAGCAUGUGUCCCCAUGGCUCAGCCUCAUGGGGUCCCUAUUCUCACUCUUUCAGGCCAAAGUCCUCAACCGCACAAGCAAAUGUUUUCCUGUGUAUCUCUCUAAUAAGAAGGGGUCUCCUCAGAAACCUCACAACAGGUUCCCUUGGCAUUUUUUUUUUACCACUUUAAUUAUAGCAAACUUUUUUUUUUGUUCUUUUUUUCAGAGCUGGGGACCGAACCCGGGGCCUUGCGCUUCCUAGGUAAGCGCUCUACCACUGAGCUAAAUCCCCAGCCCCUAUAGCAAACGUUUAACCAGGGCAGAAAAAUUUAGCAGAGUGGUCAAAAAAAGCAACAAUGAGAAAGGAAACCCUCCCCCUCGAUCUCCAAAGAGGUGCCGCACUGAACUAGCAUAGAAACAACCCAUCUGUCCACAGCUCUCUGCAGAGCACGCACCAUCGAAAGGCUUCCCCUUACUUAUCCCAUAAUAUUUCCACUGGUAUUUAUUCCAUGCCUAAAAUGUCCAUGCGUUUAGCCAAAGCGGCCUGAAGUUAAGGACGUGAGAACUGAGAACUUGGGCAACACAGACUUUGUAGCAAGGACGCCCAUAUUCCUCCCAUGUAUUCCUGUAUUCCUGACAGGAGAGCAGAGGGCCUCCCCGGCGAACCUAGGUUGCGUCCAGACCCACUCUCUGACACAUGUGAUGCCAGAUCACAGGCGAGAAAGGAAGCUGUCACUACUGUUUGUUCUAGGGACACCAGACACAGGAAGAGACAGCAAUGCCAUCAGAGGGCUGGGUGUUCACUCAGCGGGGAGGAAAUUGCAGAGGUAGAAAGGAGACUUCCAUUUCCUUGUUUGAAAUCGCAUUUAUCUUCAAAGGACAAAAGCAUCCUCAGAUGAUGGGAGCAGAAAUAAACACCCAAUUCCUGCCACAUUGGGGGGUGGGUGGGGAGGGAAGGGCUGGCCACAAGCCUUUCCAAAUUCUUCACACACAAGAACAUGUACCAUGGGAGUGCAAACAUUUGCUGUGCCCCCUCCCCACAGACUAAACAGCUCUGGUGACCAGGAUGCUCAUCCGCUCACUGGUCCCAUGAAUUAAAGGGUGGAUGUCAGCUUCCUCGUCUAAAAUGAAGCCUCUAAAUGGGUGUGUCUCAUCCAUUUGUGCUUGCUUCGGUCACUUGAUGUCCAGUGCCUUGGUAGAAACUUGGUACGGCAAACAUGCAUAGAUCCCCUAAUUGCUAUGUUCGCCUAUGAUAUUAACAGUUCAUCGAUGAUCGCAGUCAUCGAUAAUGUGACUCAUGCCAUCAAAAGUCUCCACCAAGCAUCACAUCAAUGACUACUUAGUAUUCCAGGUUCAGGACUGGCCUAACUUAAUAGGUUCUAUCAUGUCGGGCAUUGGAAUCCUAUUCCAAGCUGCCAGAGGCUGACACAUGUGCACAAAGGUUUCCAACUUCCACCCCUAACUCCCCACCACCAAAAGCUUCAAUUAUUUUUAUAGGGUUAAUUUCCAGUCUUAUUAUAAAACACCAUUUUGAAGGGUUAUUUUUUUAUAUUUAUUAUAUAAGUACACUGUAGCUGUCCUCACAGAUCUCAUUACAGAUGGUUGUGAGCCACCAUGUGGUUGCUGAGAUUUGAACUCAGGACCUCUAGAAGAGCAGUCAGUGCUCUUAACCACUGAGCCAUCUCUCCAGCAGGGUUAUUUUUUUUAAAAAUGCUGUGAGGGUAUGCUUCAGCCAGAGUCUGUGCAGGGAGAGCGGACACAGACUGAACAUCCUGAGUGAAAGCAGCCUUGGAGGCUCCAUUCUGAACCAUGUGUUCAGUCAAAUCCUCCAUAGAAGAGCUUAGCACAGUUCCACUGAGGACAUUUCUCCUCUUUGUUAGAACUUGUAUUACAUUUACUUAUUUCCUAUGCAAGCUCACUCAAGUGUGCGGAGGGGUAUGAGAGGACAAUUUGUGGGAGGCGGUUCUCUCCUCCCAUGUGGGUCCAGGGCACACAACUCAUGUUGUCAGGCUUGGUGGCAAGUGCCUUCAGCAGCUGGGCCAUGUCAGUGGCCCAGGAGAUUUCUUAAAUGCAGGGACUGUCAGAACAAACUGGAGAAGGAGCUGCAUGUAUAGUGACAUGGCACAGGGGGCAUCACUGAAGAGUCACCAUGAAGGAUUCUGCUCGGCCAGCAAUUUGGAAAUCUAUCUGCGUGCACACCCCCAUCUCUACACUUCCAGCACAUCCUUUGGCUGUGAGCUUUCCAUCACUUCAAGCAUGAGAGGCUAGGUCCGACCAAACUCUGCUGUCCAUCUUCCUGAGAUUAAGUAGAAAACACCUAACAUAUGUUCUAGAAAAUCCUCUGACCCUGUCUCACAAAAAAACCCAAGAGAAAACCAAUUGCUGGAGAAGCCCAGGUUCCCUGGAAAGCAGAGAUAGAAACAGGGAUCAGGCUGACAGGUCCGGGGCAGCAUCCGGCUCUGUGAGGUCAGGCAUGUCGAUGGAUGCCUGGCCCUUCCCCCAAGGCCUACUAAAAUCUAGGUGAGCGUGGAAACUCUUAAAGCCAAGGAAGAGGGCUGAAGAUAUUCAGAAUGACUAUUCAUCUACUUAAGUAUCAAAUAAUAUAAUGCAGCUAACAGCACUUAAUAAAAAUUCAAGGAUUAUAGGGAAGCAGAGUGAUGCUAAAUAUUUUUGCAAGGCCUUUUCAACAAUUAGUUCCGUGAUUCCUCAAAAGCGAAGGGGCAGUGACCUUAAUCUGAGGCCAUCGGCCGCUCAAACCUGGCCAAGGUGGCACUGGUUAUUACAAUUCAGAGGGACUCGUUGCUUUGUCUUAAUACAGUUUUAAAGAAAAUACAGUUUCACUAAAAGUACUUUUGAAAAUCCCCGCCUCACCUAAAACAGAUGCUGUGACCUAAUGUUCGUCUACGCUUCUCGACUCACAAAAACAUUCCUCAAACACGAACGGCUCGCUCUGUGUACCCUGCGGUAGGAAACUGAAUGAGGACCCAAGAGUAAACCAUCACACUAUGUCUGCUACACAUGUCUGAUCUACUCAGCCCACCUGAAAGCAGGAAAACAGAAAUUGCACGGAUGGCAUCUUUUAGAAAGUCAAAUGUCUAGCCUUUAUGGCUUCUGAUCAUUAGUCUAGACUUACCUAUUCUCUAUAUGUGACCUAAGGUUAUUCUCACUGGUAUUUAAUACACUUACUCCAGUGUAUUUAACCACCAAACUACUGGAAUUUCUGAAGCCCUAUUUUUAAAGCAUGUAAGAGUGACAUUUUCUUCCUACCUGGGAAACUGUCAUAAUGUUGCUUUCUGACAGAUCCCAAUAUAUUUAUGCCCCAGCAUUUUCUAACCUGGGUGAAGGUGGAAGAAACAUCUUCUUCUGCCCUAAAAAGAAAAGGUGUGUCAGGAUGUACUGUGACUCACUGUACACUCAGAACAACCGUCCUCUGAAACCCACAAGGGCUGCUGUGGGCUGCUUUGACUUGUAUUUGCUGGACUGCACACGGGUCUGGAGUUGCACAGCCUCUGGCAGAACAUCCUGAACUACAUUUGAUGGGAGGCACAGUCUCCCUUCUCAGCCAGAAGAUUGCAUGAGUAAGAUCUAAGGGAACUGUACAGGCUGUCCUGUACCAAACCUAUUUUAUAGCAUUAGAUUUUUUACAACCAACGUCCUUUAUAGCACUAAGUGGCAGGAGGCAAUCACUUACAAAGAGGCUCAGGGUUUGCCCUUCACUUAAGUGCAUGAUGAUAGGGAUGUUGGCUAACCGCUUCUUUGUUGUCUCCGAUAGUGAGUUUCUAAUGGUGUCAUCUUAAGUGAGACUGGCCCAUAAUUUCACUUUUAAGGGGGUUGGGUUUUUUUUUUUUUUUUUUUUUUUUGCUUCGUGCUUUUAAGACAAGCUGCUAAA